AGAAUCAACGCUGGCGGCGUGCCUAACACAUGCAAGUCGCACGAGAAAGGGGAGCAAUCCCUGAGUAAAGUGGCGCACGGGUGAGUAACACGUGAAUAAUCUACCUCCGAGUGGGGAAUAACUGAGAGAAAUCUUAGCUAAUACCGCAUAAUACCCACGGGUCAAAGCAGCAAUGCGCUUGGAGAGGAGUUCGCGGCCGAUUAGUUAGUUGGCGGGGUAAUGGCCCACCAAGACGAUGAUCGGUAUCCGGCCUGAGAGGGCGCACGGACACACUGGAACUGAAACACGGUCCAGACUCCUACGGGAGGCAGCAGUGGGGAAUUUUGCGCAAUGGGGGAAACCCUGACGCAGCAACGCCGCGUGGAGGAUGAAGCCCCUUGGGGUGUAAACUCCUUUCGAUCGGGAAGAUAAUGACGGUACCGAUAUAAGAAGCCCCGGCUAACUUCGUGCCAGCAGCCGC
rnacentral:rRNA from 1 species